GCAAUGUCAGUGGCGGACGGGUGAGUAACGCGUAGGGAAGUGUCCAGAGGUGGGGGACAACCCCGGGAAACUGGGGCUAAUACCGCAUAUGGCCUGAGGGCCAAAGCAGUGAUGCGCCUUUGGAGUUACCUGCGUCCGAUUAGGUAGUUGGUGGGGUAAAGGCCUACCAAGCCGACGAUCGGUAGCUGGUCUGAGAGGACGACCAGCCACACUGGGACUGAGACACGGCCCAGACUCCUACGGGAGGCAGCAGUGGGGAAUAUUGGACAAUGGGCGCAAGCCUGAUCCAGCAAUGCCGCGUGGGUGAAGAAGGUCUUCGGAUCGUAAAGCCCUUUCGGCGGGGACGAUGAUGACGGUACCCGCAGAAGAAGCCCCGGCUAACUUCGUGCCAGCAGCCGCGGUAAUACGAAGGGGGCUAGCGUUACUCGGAAUUACUGGGCGUAAAGGGCGCGUAGGCGGCGUUCCAAGUCAGGCGUGAAAGCCCUGGGCUCAACCUGGGGACUGCGCUUGAUACUGGAGUGCUUGAGGAUGGAAGAGGGUUGUGGAAUUCCCAGUGUAGAGGUGAAAUUCGUAGAUAUUGGGAAGAACACCGGUGGCGAAGGCGGCAACCUGGUCCAUUUCUGACGCUGAGGCGCGA
rnacentral:rRNA from 1 species